GACUUCCUACGCUUUCGUGCUGCAACAGCGGGGAGGCGGUCGAGUUUGCGUCCCUCUUCUCCGCCCCAGCGGUUCCUCUCGUUGUUUUCUUGCCCAUCCUCUGUCACAUCUCUGCGUGAGCCGCAAGCGCGCACGCACUGGCACACGCAUCACUCCUGAACGGGCGCGAACAUCUUUCCGCCCGCCUUCUCCCACGCCAUCACCUCGGCCGCCUCAGACGGCGCCGCUGUUAUCGCUCUUAGCACCUCUUUGCUCGUCCUUCGUGAUGGGGAAGAGGGGGCCACCCUCGCAGUGCGUGGUAUCACAGGGUCCGGUACACCCCUGCGCGGUGGGCAAGCCGAGCGGCCACCCUCUAUCCCUGGCAAUGCCCAACCAGUUUAUGGUGGUGUCAGAGUCGGGCGCCUACGACGCGGGCAUGCCAGAGCAAUGCAUCGCUGCUGGUGUCGGCGGUGAGGUCCUGGACGGCGUGGCGUCGGAGCGAUCUGCGUCAGUACGCACAGCUUGUGCGAUCCCUAUGAGGACGCAGGGUGUCGGCGCGACUGGAAAGGCAUCCCACCCCCCGGCCCUCACGCUGCCCACUGGUGUGGUGGGGGGAGCCCGAGCCACCUCGCGAGGGAUGCACCAGAGGUGGGGACCUGCAUGAUGGGGCGGGUAGAGUUUGAGGCGACGAGCAGAGCGGGGGGGGCGGGUGGAGGUUGUGGUGGGGGGUGGCCGUGCUCUCGCAUGGCUGAGCUGGCCCAUUGCUGCGACGGGCGUGUCUACCGGGUGCUUCCCACCACGCGAUGAGGAGAGGCGGGGGGCCUGUGGCAGGCCAGGGGUAGUGAAGGCAUAGGGGCCCACGACUCCUGUUGUACCGCACAAUGAGUGCGCUGCUGGAAUGGUUCGUUUUUCGCGUGUGCGUUUCUUCCGCCUGCCGUGUUUACGUGGUGUGCGGUGGCCGGGACUGAAAGCGAAAAAGAAAAGCGUGAAUGAAGGCGCGUUGUAAGCGCGAGUGGCGCGUCGUCCCUGUUUCUUGUACCGUUGCCAUCUUCGGUAGUCCGGGUUUCUCAGGCUUGGAGUCUCCUCCGAUUGCGCGUCUCUUGGCAGCUGGCGCGGUAUGGAAGUCUCUGUGGACGUUGGUGGGCGCUGGCGUGUGCUGCUGCCUUCUCGCAGAUCCGGAUGGCGCUUUGUCUGUUGUGUCCGUGGCGAACCCAUCGAGCGUGUGUGUGCUGCAGGCCCUCGCAAAGGGGGCGACGCUGCGUUGGCAUGGCUGAUUCGCAUCCCCGUACAAGGCAACAAAGGGGAACGGGAAACGAAUCCUAUGCUGCGGAAAUCGGCUUCCCAAAUCUCCCUCUCCACCUCUUCGCUGACUGGCACCGUUGCGCUCACGUUUUAUGCACAUGCGCCUGGGUGUGUGGCGCCGCUUUCUAUCGCCUUGCUUCGCCCGCGGCACAUGCCCCUUGCGUCUUUUGUGUUUGUAUAG
rnacentral:misc_RNA from 1 species